rnacentral:rRNA from 1 species
GCGAAAACUUUACAAUGCUGGCAACAGCGAUAAGGGAACCUCGAGUGCCAGGUUACAAAUCUGGCUGUCGAGAUGCCUAAAAAGCAUUUCAUAGCAAGGGCCGGGCAAGACCGGUGCCAGCCGCCGCGGUAACACCGGCGGCUCGAGUGGUAACCGUUAUUAUUGGGUCUAAAGGGUCUGUAGCCGGCCGGAUAAGUCUCUUGAGAAAUCCAGCAACUUAACUGUUGGGCUUUCAGGAGAUACUGUCUGGCUCGAGGCCGGGAGAGGUGAGAGGUACUUCAGGGGUAGGGGUGAAAUCUUGUAAUCCUUGAAGGACCACCAGUGGCGAAGGCGUCUCACCAGAACGGACCUGACGGCAAGGGACGAAAGCUAGGGGCACGAACC